rnacentral:rRNA from 1 species
AGCUCCAAUAGCGUAUAUUAAAGUUGUUGCAGUUAAAAAGCUCGUAGUUGAAUUUCGGGAUCGACGGGUCGGUCGCGCCUCUGGUGUGUACUGGCCCUGUCGGUUUCUCCCUUCUGACGAACCACGAUGUCAUUAAUUUGGUGUCGUGGGAAAUCAGGACUGUUACUUUGAAAAAAUUAGAGUGUUUAAAGCAGGCAUUCGCUUGAAUACAUUAGCAUGGAAUAAUGAAAUAGGACCGUGGUCUUUUAUU